GAUAACGGCGUCGAGCGGCGGACGGGUGAGUAAUGCCUAGGAAAUUGCCCUGAUGUGGGGGAUAACCAUUGGAAACGAUGGCUAAUACCGCAUAAUGCCUACGGGCCAAAGAGGGGGACCUUCGGGCCUCUCGCGUCAGGAUAUGCCUAGGUGGGAUUAGCUAGUUGGUGAGGUAAUGGCUCACCAAGGCGACGAUCCCUAGCUGGUCUGAGAGGAUGAUCAGCCACACUGGAACUGAGACACGGUCCAGACUCCUACGGGAGGCAGCAGUGGGGAAUAUUGCACAAUGGGCGCAAGCCUGAUGCAGCCAUGCCGCGUGUGUGAAGAAGGCCUUCGGGUUGUAAAGCACUUUCAGUCGUGAGGAAGGUGGUGUAGUUAAUAGCUGCAUUAUUUGACGUUAGCGACAGAAGAAGCACCGGCUAACUCCGUGCCAGCAGCCGCGGUAAUACGGAGGGUGCGAGCGUUAAUCGGAAUUACUGGGCGUAAAGCGCAUGCAGGUGGUUUGUUAAGUCAGAUGUGAAAGCCCGGGGCUCAACCUCGGAAUAGCAUUUGAAACUGGCAGACUAGAGUACUGUAGAGGGGGGUAGAAUUUCAGGUGUAGCGGUGAAAUGCGUAGAGAUCUGAAGGAAUACCGGUGGCGAAGGCGGCCCCCUGGACAGAUACUGACACUCAGAUGCGAAAGCGUGGGGAGCAAACAGGAUUAGAUACCCUGGUAGUCCACGCCGUAAACGAUGUCUACUUGGAGGUUGUGGCCUUGAGCCGUGGCUUUCGGAGCUAACGCGUUAAGUAGACCGCCUGGGGAGUACGGUCGCAAGAUUAAAACUCAAAUGAAUUGACGGGGGCCCGCACAAGCGGUGGAGCAUGUGGUUUAAUUCGAUGCAACGCGAAGAACCUUACCUACUCUUGACAUCCAGAGAAUUUUCCAGAGAUGGAUUUGGUGCCUUCGGGGAACUCUGAGACAGGUGCUGCAUGG
rnacentral:rRNA from 1 species